AGAUGAGUCGCCACUGUGUCCAGGCACUACUGUGCAGUGACAAGCUGGGUACACCAGUAGAGUGAAGCUGGCCAGUAGUGAAGCAUGGCUGCCCUCCAGCUCAUGGCCUGUGGACUGCGGCUGCACAUCUGCGCAGCAUUGUCCUGAGUGAGGCUGUGUCCAGGUGAUAAUGUCCCAGCCACCCACAUGCCCCUAAUGUCUGCUGAGUUAAGUGUGGGUCACACAUUAUCUCAGUGCUUGGAGGCCCAGCCUUGGGGCCAAGACCCUUAAGAAAAACAAAAAACAAAAACCCCAGAGCGGAAAAAACCGGCACCCUCCCCUGAGGCAGACCCUUCCGCAGGUUUAAGGCCAAAAGGGCCUCCGCCCCUCCUCCAGCCCGGACUGGGUCUCAGGCGCAAAGCCGUCUGCACUCCCCAGACCUGAUCCCCGGGAAUCCCCAGGCUCUUCGCGUCCGGAUAGCUACAUCCCAAGGCCGGAGCUCUAGCAGACGGCGUCUGAGGCUCCUUCUCCAUCCACGAGGACAUAGAAAGAACAAAAUGAAAAGAUGUUUUUGGAUCCCCAAACUUCUAUGGAUAGAAAGCAGGCUGAGAGAACCGCUGUGAACAGAGGCUAUUUCCUAUGGCAAAGGAAGGAUGACUCAGGACAGAACCCAAGCUGCAGGGAAUCAGUCCCAGGGAACAGGAUUGGACCCUAAUCAAGAAACGACAACAUGUGUUUAGCUGGAUGUUAGAAUCCUUACGGUCCUCUGGUCACUAUGGUCUUCAGAUCAAGAGAAAUCACAAAGUCAAACCAAGACCUGCACCUGAAGAACUUACUUGCCCCUGUACCUGAUUUGGAUACUGGAUUUAGAUUCUGGAUCUUGAACCUGAGCCCAGUGCCAUAAUAGGAUAAGACUUGAAGGGGGGGGGGGGAUUUGCAAGGCGCGGUGUGUAUUUUGCAUAUGGGUAGAAUGAGUGUAAAUACUUCGGUCUGAGAGUAAACUGUGGUGGUUUUUGCAAAAGGCUAUAGGCUUUCUGACAAACCUCACACUGAGAGGUGGAUUCCAUCAUUCCCUUUGAAUCUAGAAUGGUUCAUGACUGCUUUGACCAACAGAAUAUGGUGGGAGUGAUGCUGGGUGGCUCCCAAGAUUGAGUCAUGAGUCUGUGUGGCUUCUUGGGACACUUGCUCUCUUGCAGGACACUCUCCAGAACCUGGACACCAUCCUGGGAGGAGCCCACACCACAUGAAGAGACCAUGAUUAGAUUCUCAGGUUGAGAACCCAGACUGAGCCCCAACUUUGAGUCUUCCCACCAAGGUGCCAAUCAUGCCAGUGAUAAAGCCUCCAGAUAAUUCCAACCCUCAACCAUGAAGUCACCUCGAACUAUGACCGUCUACCUGGCUGAGACCUCAGUCUGCUCACAGUGGAGCAGAGAUGAGCCGCCAGGCGCCAGCUUAAUUCCUGGCUCACAGAAUCCAUGAACACAAGAAAAUGGUAGUUGUUUUACAUCACUGAAUUUGGGGUGGUUUUCUUAUAGCAACAGAACACACUCCUGCAGGGGGGUAUAGCCUCUACAUAAGGAGAUAGGAGGAAUUGUUGGGAGCCAUCUUACUGAUAAUCACCCACAGAGCUCUUUGGGGCUCAGGCUAGUUUAAGACAGACACAGUUUACUGUGGGGGUUCAAGAGAGACUUGCAGAAUUCAGAGGCAGGAAGUAGAGUCAAGGUGCUUGAGGGCUAGAGCUGAAAAUGGGGGCCUGCAGGAAUUCAGGCUGUGCUGACCUGCUCUCUCUGGCACUGUACAGGUCCUCCUUCUCCAAGUGCCCUCCUUGUGGGAGCCUCUAAUAGGUCCUGGCCCCACAGUCCUCUAGGACCCUCAGUCCAGCUGGGCACACUGGCCGCUCCCAUCAGAAUUCCCAGCCCAUGGAGGAUUAGCUUGGGAACCAGGCCUGGCUGCCUUUGGCUCCCAAAGACAAGGCCAGGUAAGAGGGGGGUCCUCUGGCGGGGCAGGCAUUCUAUAGAAGCGCUCUCUAUAUCGGUCAUCUGGAUGGGUGGGGAUAUUUUUGAUCAGGAAGAAAUAAAAAUAGGCAUUGUUGGCUGGUAAUUACUUUUUUGGGCCUUUCCUGCAUGUCUUAGAUAAUUAACCCUUUGUCCAGUCUUUAUUCCUCCUCCCUUCCUUCCUUCCUUUCUUCCUUUCUUCUCCCCUCUCUCUCUUUCUUUGUUCUCAAGUUGCUCCCAGGGAGAAGGGGAGUAGAGGAUGAGUUUCUGACACUUUCACUGGACCUCAAUGGUCCUUGGUCAGCAAAGCACUGGUCACCAUACUGGGAGGAGCCCACACCCAGCAUCUGGAAGCACACAGCACCACUGGGAGACCCACAGUCAGUCACACAGGCACACAUGAACGCACACAUUCACAGGUGCACACAGAUGGUCACACACAGAGGCACA